UACGUAGGGGGCAAGCGUUGUCCGGAUUUAUUGGGCGUAAAGAGCGUGUAGGCGGCCAGGUAGGUCCGCUGUGAAAACUCGAGGCUCAACCUCGAGAUGUCGGCGGAAACCAUCUGGCUAGAGUCCGGAAGAGGAGAGUAGAAUUCCUGGUGUAGCGGUGAAAUGCGCAGAUAUCAGGAAGAACACCCGUGGCGAAGGCGGCUCUCUGGGACGGUACCUAGACGCUGAGACGCGAAAGCGUGGGGAGCGAACAGG
rnacentral:rRNA from 1 species